rnacentral:rRNA from 1 species
AUACGGAGGGUGCAAGCGUUAAUCGGAAUUACUGGGCGUAAAGCGCGCGUAGGCGGAUAUUUAAGUCUCAUGUGAAAGCCCUGGGCUCAACCUGGGAACUGCAUGGGAUACUGGGUAUCUUGAAUACAGUAGAGGGUAGUGGAAUUUCAGGUGUAGCGGUGAAAUGCGUAGAGAUCUGAAGGAACAUCAGUGGCGAAGGCGACUACCUGGACUGAUAUUGACGCUGAGGUGUGAAAGCGUGGGGAGCAAACAGGAUUAGAUACCCUAGUAGUCC